CAUCUCUAUUUAACACACGAGUUUCAGUAAAAUGCUUUGCUUCUCUGCCAUAUGGAUCAGGAGCCACUUCUGAUACAGAUGCUGCUGACGCUGCCAGCCUCUGAGCUGUUGUCGCAGUAGCACGAGGUUCAGUAGUUGAUUCUCCGUUUGGUUCAUCAGAGGUAAUACUAGCAUUAACAACAGUUUCUGAUGUUGCUCUUCUUUGAACAUGCAGCACAAAUGCUUGGCUUCUCUGCCAUAUGGAUCUGGAGCAACUUCUGAUACAGAUGCUGCUGAGGUUGCCAACCUCUGAGCUGUUGUCGGAGUAGCACGAGGUUCAGUAGUUGAUUCUCCGUUUGGUUCAUCAGAGGUAAUACUAGCAUUAACAACAGUUUCUGAUGUUGCUCUUCUUCCCAUAGUAGGUGCCUGUUUAUUUAAAAAAAGGGUAAACGCACUGGUAAAGUAACAAGAGCUGGCUGUGUAGAAAUUUCAACUUGUACUGCAUUG
rnacentral:lncRNA from 1 species